GGAUCUAUGUCAUUAGACAAGCUUAACAUAUCAGCCCUUGAUCAAAUCUUAAUGCUGGCUUGCACACGUCCCAUACAUAAUUCAAAUUCAACGUCUAUCAUCUUCCAACGCGUUUCAUUUUCCAAAGUAUUCAUUUUCAAUUCAUUCAUUCUCUUAUUCCAACCAUCCAUGCCACUUUAUCUGUUCCCUUUUCAUCUCCAAGAUUCAUGAUCAAACUUUUGUCAUUCUCUCUCUCACUGGCUCUCUCUCUCUGCCAAUGAACCAUAACCAUACAUGAAGAAAAUUUCAAUCUCUCCCAUGUCUUUUCCACUUUCACAGUUGUCUUUUCUCCUCCCACUCCCCUUCACCAAUGCUCUAGAUUCCGACAUCACCUUCGCCGUUGUCGACUUCCCCGCCACCGUAUGCAUCAUCGUAUCAGCUAGACAAGCAAAAAGAACCGCACAAUUUUUCCAACAAAAACAUGCCACCCCGAAUAAAGAGAAAGAAGCCAUGGAAAUUUGCAAUCUCGAUUGGAAGCUCCUGUCGUUGCUCUCUCCAUUCAUCAACAAUGCUCUCAAGGUUCACAACAUAAUCAGAUUUAGGUCUCUGACGAGAAUAAGGUCAUAGUUGGCGAUUCAGUUUCAUCUCAGUUUCACCCCUCACUUUCAUCUUUUCUGUUUUGGCAACGAUUCAAUUUCGACCGUUGAGGUAAGAAGUAUGGGAUGAAAUGGAACAAGAUUGUAGCAGAAACAUGGAGUUAUCUUUGUAGUCAAAGUCGACUUACUUGAUGCCACUGUGUUUUCUAUUAUGUUACUUUAUCAGAUUUUAUGGAUUAAUUAUUUCCUUUUAACAUUACUUUUUUUCUCAUAAUUUUUUUGCUACUGUUGAUUUUUCCUUUUCAUUGUAUCCUUGAUUUUGAAUUCCUUUUUGGAUUGUUGACAACUUGUUCGCGAUGGUGGGGCAGAGCUCACAGUGAUUGUUUGAUUAUGGAAGGUUAAACUUGAAAUGAGAAUGGCAAUUAACUCUGUUUAUCUUAAGGACCAUGAUAUCUAUUGGUUAUUGGAAGAAAAUGGUGCAUGUUGUUUAGCCAUUAUCGUUGUGGAACCUAUCCGUCAAUGAAUUUGAGGCAGGGAGAGGAACCUUAAAUCAUGUGCAAACUGAGAAGGAGAAAUUUGAGAAGCUGAUUUUUUUUUUAGCUUGAAUCUGACGGAGAAAGGUUCUUAUGGGUAAAUUUUCUUCUUCCACUUUUAUUUGUUUCUUUCUCAUCUAUUUUGCUAUAGAAGAAACUAUAACAUUAGCAGGUCUACUUGAAGCUCUUUAGCAGGUCGAGUAAGUGAGUGACAAAAUAUGCUUACUCAAAUUGUGUAUGACAUGAUCAUACUGUGUCCUGACUGAUUCCUAUUGGUUGUUCCCGUCUUUUUUCAGGUAAAUUCAGUCUAUAGGUGAUGUUAUAAAUCAUGUACGCUUUGUGCAGAUGUAACCAAGUGACACUAGACGCACUGAUGAUGUUCUUUUGCUGCUAAUCUGUUCGAUGACUUGAAAGACAUAAUGUUAAUUGGUAAUUGAAAAGCUAAGUGGCCAUAUAUAUGCUGAUGGCUUUAUUCAGAGGCUAUAUAUAUAACUCCAAUGUUAAUGCAUUAUGUUAUGAUUCAUUAUGAAAGGCCGAUGUUUAGCAUUAUUAUGUGUUGUUUUUUAGUUAAUGUAUUUUAGGAAGGUACCUUAAUUAACAAUUGUGUAUCCAAUACCGUGGCCGAGUGAGUGUACUUUUGUCGAACUCAAAAUAACUUAGUUGUGAUGUUUUCUCAAAUAACAUCUACGGUAGUUUAUAUCUCUUCAA